UACAGAGGGUGCGAGCGUUGUCCGGAAUCACUGGGCUUAAAGCGUGUGUAGGCGGGUCGUUAAGUGUCUUGUGAAAUCCCACCGCUCAACGGUGGAACUGCUGGGCAUACUGGCGAUCUUGAGCCACCUAGGGGCAGACGGAACAAGCGGUGGAGCGGUGAAAUGCGUAGAUAUCGCUUGGAACGCCGACGGUGAAAACAGUCUGCUGGGGGUGUGCUGACGCUGAGACACGAAAGCCAGGGGAGCGAACGGG
rnacentral:rRNA from 1 species